GAUGAACGCUAGCGGCAGGCUUAACACAUGCAAGUCGAGGGGUAUAGGGAGCUUGCUUCCUAGAGACCGGCGCACGGGUGCGUAACGCGUAUGCAACCUACCUUUUACAGGGGAAUAGCCCAGAGAAAUUUGGAUUAAUGCCCCAUGGUAUAAUUGAAUGGCAUCGUUUAAUUAUUAAAGUUCCAACGGUAAAAGAUGGGCAUGCGUCCUAGUAGCACGAUGGUAAGGUAAUGACUUACCAUGGCGACGAUAGGUAGGGGUCCUGAGAGGGAGAUCCCCCACACUGGUACUGAGACACGGACCAGACUCCUACGGGAGGCAGCCGCGAGGAAUAUUGGACAAUGGGCGCAAGCCUGAUCCAGCCAUGCCGCGUGCAGGAAGAAGCAUCUAUGGUGUGUAAACUGCUUUUGUACAGGAAGAAACAUCCCGACGUGUCGGGACUUGACGGUACUGUAAGAAUAAGGAUCGGCUAACUCCGUGCCAGCCGCCGCCGUAACAC
rnacentral:rRNA from 1 species